rnacentral:rRNA from 1 species
GACGAACGCUGGCGGCGUGCUUAACACAUGCAAGUCGAACGGAAAGGCCCUGCUUUUGUGGGGUGCUCGAGUGGCGAACGGGUGAGUAACACGUGAGUAACCUGUCCUUGACUUUGGGAUAACUUCAGGAAACUGGGGCUCAUACCGGAUAGGAGCUCCUGCUGCAUGGUGGGGGUUGGAAAGUUUCGGCGGUUGGGGAUGGACUCGCGGCUUAUCAGCUUGUUGGUGGGGUAGUGGCUUACCAAGGCUUUGACGGGUAGCCGGCCUGAGAGGGUGACCGGCCACAUUGGGACUGAGAUACGGCCCAGACUCCUACGGGAGGCAGCAGUGGGGAAUAUUGCACAAUGGGCGGAAGCCUGAUGCAGCAACGCCGCGUGCGGGAUGACGGCCUUCGGGUUGUAAACCGCUUUCGCCUGUGACGAAGCGUGAGUGACGGUAAUGGGUAAAGAAGCACCGGCUAACUACGUG